AGAGUUUGAUCAUGGCUCAGGAUGAACGCUGGCGGCGUGCCUAACACAUGCAAGUCGAACGAAGCUCUUACGACAGAACUCUUCGGAGGGAAGAUGCAAGAGACUGAGUGGCGGACGGGUGAGUAACGCGUGGGUAACCUGCCCUAUACAGGGGGACAACAGUUGGAAACGACUGCUAAUACCGCAUAAGCGCACAGUACCGCAUGGUACAGAGCGAAAAACUCCGGUGGUAUAGGAUGGGCCGCGUCUGAUUAGCUAGGUUGGAGGUGUAACGGCCACCAAGGCGACGAUCAGUAGCCGGCUUGAGAGAGUGAACGGCCANAGUUGGGACCUGAGACACGGCCCAAACUCCGUACGGAGGCA
rnacentral:rRNA from 1 species